rnacentral:rRNA from 1 species
UACGUAGGGGGCAAGCGUUGUCCGGAAUUAUUGGGCGUAAAGAGCGUGUAGGCGGCCCGACCAGUCCGCUGUGAAAGUCCAGGGCUCAACCCUGGAAUGCCGGUGGAUACUGUCGGGCUAGAGUCCGGAAUGGGCGAGUGGAAUUCCUGGUGUAGCGGUGAAAUGCGCAGAUAUCAGGAGGAACACCAAUUGCGAAGGCAGCUUGCUACACGGAUAUUGACUCUGAGGCACGAAAGCGUGGGGAUCAAACAGG